rnacentral:rRNA from 1 species
CAACUUUCAACAACGGAUCUCUUGGUUCUGGCAUCGAUGAAGAACGCAGCGAAAUGCGAUACAGUAGUGUGAAUUGCAGAAUUCAGUGAAUCAUCGAAUCUUUGAACGCACAUUGCGCCCUUUGGUAUUCCAAAGGGCAUGCCUGUUCGAGCGUCAUUU